CGACUCUCGGCAACGGAUAUCUCGGCUCUCGCAUCGAUGAAGAACGUAGCGAAAUGCGAUACUUGGUGUGAAUUGCAGAAUCCCGUGAACCAUCGAGUCUUUGAACGCAAGUUGCGCCCGAAGCCGUCUGGCCGAGGGCACGCCUGCCUGGGCGUCACG
rnacentral:rRNA from 1 species